CCCUUAGAUGUUCUGGGCUGCACGCGCGCGACAAUGACGUUUGCAACGAGAUUGCGAGGCCGUCAGGUCGAGCUGAUCUUGCAAGCUGCGUCGUGAUAGGGACAGUCGAUUGCAAUUAUUCGACUCGAACGAGGAAUUCCUUGUAAUCGCGCAUCAUCAGUGCGCGCUGAAUACGUCCCUGCCCUUUGUACACACCGCCCGUCGCUCCUACCGAUUGGAUGGUCCGGUGAAGCCUCGGGAUUGUGGUUCUUGCCGCUUUAUUGUGGCGUGACCGCGAGAACUUGUCUAAACCUUAUCAUCUAGAGGAAGGUGAAGUCGUAACA
rnacentral:rRNA from 1 species